CCGGCCACCCAUCCUCAACUAAAAAAACUCUUUCUCUUCCUCCCAUGCCACACACUCUCCCACCUAAACCUAAACCUAGGUCACCUGCCGCCGCCGGCCCCUGACUUGCCGGCCGAUUUGCUCGCGCUACCGCCUCUCCCACCACCAACGGCGCCUCCCAAAGCAGGAGAUCCACCGCGACCGAAGCAGGUCAGGAGGCGGCCCUGGCGCACCUAGAUCGGCCAGCGCCGUCCGACAUCGAGCUCCUCUGCUCCCAGCGCCAGAUCCACCUAUGGCUCCAUCUCCACAACCACGCACCGGCAGCCGCCAUGGAAGGUGCUCUAUGUGCUUGCUUCUUCCCUUCCGGGGACGUCGCUACUCUGACGCCAUGGACAAAUGAUUACAAAAGGUUGAUGCAAACCAGCUCCAGAAUGAGCUCAAGGCAUAGAGGAAGAAUGAGGAGGAGGAGAUGAGCACACUUCUGAACCACUACCUCCAUUUCUGUGCAGUUCUAGAAGGAGCUCAAACAUAUUUCUCAUGCCUCUGAAUUUCCUUUUUCUUGUACUGGAUAUCUUCUUGUUCUUUCACUCCUGACCAGUAGACUUCUAAUCUAGGUGCUCAUUAUUUCUACUUGUUUGUUGUCUCAGGGAUCACAAGUUUAAUGUUUACUAAAUCAAGAAACCUUCUGAAUCUGCUAACAUAGCCUCCAUUUACUCUCUGCUCAAGUCUGUUUGUGGCAUAUCUUAUUUUAACUUCUGUUUUAGUCUGCUCAAGUGGAGAUCUCCGUAAACUUCAGAAAUCAUAGUCACGAAAUUGUAGGGAUAAAAGGGGUAAUGGAAAAUUGCAUUUCUCUAGUCUCAGUUUGUUCUUCCUUGGCGCCCUACUAUUUACGUUUUUUUCUAUUUGGUAUGUAUAUUCGUAAUGAAUGUCCACUUCUCCUAUCUAUAUUUUCAUAACUAUGUUUCCUAAUUAUACUACUAAUUCACAUGAAGUUGCUUGGUGGAUAGUGCAGUUUUAACCUGCUGCUUCUCGAUAAAAGUUGUUGACAUGAGGCCCUCUGGGGAAGUAGGCGGCUCGUCCCAGCCUAAGUUGCGCGGAUACUUCAAAAGGCGGGCGUAUCCAGCCGGAUACUGCCCCGAUACUGCCCGAUACGUAUUCCGCUGAAGAACUUGGCUAUGACAUGCAGAGAGAUGAAAUAUUUGUCAGAGCACAUACACGUAAAAUUGGAGUUCCUACCGCACAAGCGGAGACACUAAUUAAACAACCUGAAGAAGCAGCUGAACCACCAACAACACUUGCAAUGGAAAUUCAAUUUCAUCGACAAGAUGAACAAGUUUCUACUCUACUAGGGUGAACCAUCAAUUUCAUCAAUAACUAAACACAUGUAGUGCAGUUUGUAGUGUCAUUAUAAAUAGAUGAUGCAUGAGGCUACUAGAGUAUCUAGUUUCUAUCGGAAAUAGAUAAGAAUUAAGGGCACGAUAAGGUGAUACUAAAUCUGGGCUAUAGUAGAACAUAGAAUGUUUGGUUUCUACGUUUAUACAGGGCCGUCCAAAGGCCUAUGCGGGCUGUGCGACCGCACAGGGCCCCCAAAUUCCAAGGGGCCCCCGAUUUUGGGCCAGUGUCUAGUGUAUUUUUCGUGUUGGGCCCUUUUAUCACAACUAGCACAGACAUAGGCCUGCCCAGCUAGUCCCUGACUCUCUCAAAUUGGGCCAGCCCCUCAAUCUCCCAAAAUAAGCCUUUCCUUAAUCCCGAUCGACACAGCCCGCCGAUCGCGAUCUAUCGAUCUAGCCCCGCGCGGUCUGCUCGGAAGAGAAAAAAGGGCCCUCACGGAGCUGAACCGACAAAGUGCGGCGGCGGCGGCGGCGCACGGAGACGGAGCGUCGUUGUCACUUUGCUUCCUGCCCGGAGAAACAACCCGCUGCACUGCCCGCAUGAAGAAUUCAUUCCACAGUUUUUUUUGUCGCCGGUAUCCGAUCCGAGGCCUAGGUGAGGACAUCCGCGAUCUGUCCACAAGGUGUGCUCAAACUGAUUCCCUAUUUACUUUAGUAUUUUGUCCUGUUGAAUGAUUAGUGUGCAUACGCUUCAGUUUAUCAAUCCAUUUGUUUAGAGAAGAUAUAUAAUACUACUAGGCUAGUUGACCAAGUUGUCACACACCAAUUUCCAAGCUAGUUGCUCGUUUCAAAUUUAGAGUACAGUUUUUUUAUCUUGGUACUGUAUAAGCCUAUAAUUUAUGGAGUGUUUGAAUUCAUUCUUUUUUCUUUUUAUAAGAAAACAUCUAUUCUAGAAUUUUUAGGGCCUUAUUUUGCAUUUCGCACCGGGCCCCCAAAUUCCUGGAGACGGCCCUGCGUUUAUAUGUGUGCAACGCAACCGCCAUUGUCAUGCAAAUAGUACGCAGGCUAAAUGUGUGAUUUAGUACGCAAGCUAAACUGAAUGUUUGCUUGCAUAUUUGUUCAAAUACGGUCAGUGGUACAAUUGUUUGUCAGUGUGCAAUUCCUAGUAGCUAAACUGAAGCUUGCUCUCUCUUAAAGAUCAGCCACAAAAAAAAUACUUGACCAUUAUUUUUCUGCGAAGCAUAUUUAGUUCAGUCCACAUGUUAGGAUUACACCUGACUCCUUUUUUAGGUAAACAUAGGUGUCGUAGCCUAUUGCAGUAUCUGUUUAGUUUUAGGAUUUUAACCAUAGCAGAAAACAACAUAUGCGAACCCCUAUUGUAUACCACAAAAUGUUUCAUAGCAUGCAUGAACCGCAACACAAGCGAUGUCUUUUGAAUUGACUUGUUUUCACCAAGUACACUAUUACAUAUAUGACUGCUGGUACAUGUAUAUGUAAUAAUGCUUGUUUCUUAGACCUUUGGACUCGAAGGCAACUCAUAAAUUUGAAUACAUUGUAUUAUUUCAAAGAUUGCUGAAACAUAUGAGUUCUUUUGUAGGGACAAAUGGUAGAAAGUAGCAAGUCCACUGGCUGAUUGAAGAUGUUCUCGAGAUUGCUUUUGUUGAGAACAUGGAUGGCACAUUUUGUUCAUACGGAAGUUGAUUUGGUUUGGCAAUUGAAGAGUUGGUCUUCCAUAAUAUUCUGUAGCAGUAGCAGUCCAGUGAACAAGCACUUGGUCUCUUAUGAACUUUGGCCAUUAUGUUUGUAACAUGCCUCUCUUGUAUA